rnacentral:lncRNA from 1 species
UCCCCCACCAGCACCAGACCAAUCUCACUCCCAGCUUAGCCUGCACAUUUAGAAAUACAUGCAGGGCGUGAGUACAUAAUACUCAGUGGGCAAACGCCGAAAAACAAGAAAGGUGCUCUUAGAGCUAUAGGUUUGAAACUUGCCACAUCUCAGCAAUACACAGGAAUAAAGUUAGCGUAAAUGAACCUGUGUAAGCAGUUUUAAUAAACAUGUCAUCAUAAAGAAACGAUAGCGCUAUCAAAGUACUCAUCAUGUAUGUACCACAUCUACAACUCAUCAUCAUCAAAGGUACUGAGAAGUAGGCCUCCCUCUCAAGUACCGUGACCGGCCGACCCGAUGACGGCUCACAGUCACCUCUGUGCACAAAAUUCCGCUUGUGGCAGGACCGAAUUCGUCUCAUCAGUAGAGGGUAACAUACAAGCUCAACAUCAAAAAUUGGCAAGUCAAACAGUUCUCAAACAUCAUUUAUCUCAAAGCAUUUGAUAAGCUCAUAACAUCAUUAAAUCAUUUUAGAAAGCUCAUAUGAUAUACGUAUACUCAAAGUAUUGCCCACCUGAAGUCCUUCGCUUAGUUUCGGAAAGAAAACAGGCGACUUACUUCAUCGUCUCGCUCGGCCUUCAUAAAUCAUCAUCAUCGUCAUUGAAGGUUCAUGUGAUAAAACAAACCUUUAGUUAGAACUCAUUACUAAACUCAAACUUGUCUCAACGAUAACUUAUCACUCAUCUUCUAUUUACCCAAGAACAUCUCGAUCCCUAAGUAUACUUAACUUCUAAGGAUUCACAAAUCCUACUCUCGACCUAUCUCUCAACUCGGAUCAAACUCAUAGCAAAUAAGCACAUAAACAAGCAAAAACACUUAAGCAUAUAAAAACACACAUAGACAAGUCAAAAACCAACUUCACUCUGCACUGACUCGAUUUAAAAAGCUCACCAGACUCGGUACAGAACUCCACUGGAGUCGUGGCCCAUACCAAAUGAAACCUCUUUGAGUCUAGUUUCAUUUAAAAAAAAAGUAGGAUUAAAAACUACAAGUAAUGUAGGAGAUAUGACUGUUUUACUACAGUCUAUCAUAUUCGGCAGUUUUUAGCAAUCGAAAGCUUUGAUUUUUGAAAAAUAGAAAACGUUGUCAAAAAGGUCUUAAAUUUGUUGGGUAGAUAGCUAAGACACUCAUGUCUCAAAAAUCAAAAUUUGGGUUCCAAAAAGUUAGGUAAAGAUACUGAAAAAGGUGACUCUAUUGGCUACUCUCCGAACAAUUCGGCAGAACGUAGCAGUUUCGAUUUUCCAUUUUAUAAAAAUAGUAACCGAAGUGCAAAUGACUUGAAAUUUUACCGGUAUGCUCAAGACUCUCAAAUACACUUACCAUAAAAUUUUCAUGUCGAAAACAGUAGGUUAGUGCGCCAUGAAAAUGACUCCAAACUCAAACACACAAGCAAACAUGCUCAACUCAACAUUCCUUCAAAGGAAACUCAUCAAAGCUCAUCUUAAACACUUAUAGCACUAAAAACAUUCAAACACAACAUAAUACUCAUCAUAAUCAAUUUAACUCUCCUCUUUCAUCUCAAACUCAAAUCUCAAAGAUAAACUUUCAAAGAACGCAUCGUUUCAAUACUCAUCUCAUUUUCAUGCUCAAAAUUUCUCAAACUCAUAUGACCUCAUACAUCAUAUAGUUAACUCAUUAUACAUACAUAGAAUCUCUUAUAUAUGCAAACUAAACUCGAAGAAAAACUCACACAUCAACGUAGACUCUUAAUUAAAGCAUGACAAACGUUCACAUAAUAUCUAAGCAAUUAACCUAUUAAACCAAUCAUCGACUUCUCAAAAUAUGAAAACUGAUCAAAAACUUAUACAAACUAAACUAAGUCAAAAAUUUAUAUAGCCAACAAUUGACCUAACCAAACAUAUUUAGACACUAAUAUCAUGCUCAAUUUCAAUUAUCCUAAGCCAAUUCACGUAAUUAACACAUAGGCAUGAAAGUCCUAAUUUUUAUUAAACUAAGCUCUUUGAAAUUCUACAAACACACAUGACACUUCAAUCCAAUCAUGGAUCUAUCAAUUUUAACCAUUUAAUCUCACAUAUAAACCAUCAAUUGACAACUUAGGGCAUA